GUACACGCUGUGACUAGCAUAUCAAUAAGCGGAGGAAAAGAAACUAACAAGGAUUCCCCUAGUAACGGCGAGUGAAGCGGGAAGAGCUCAAAUUUGAAAUCUUAAAGGGUUUCCCUUUACGAAUUGUAGUUUAAAGAAGUGUUUUCUGUUGAGGUUUUGGUAAAAGUUCUUUGGAAUAGGACAUCAUAGAGGGUGAGAAUCCCGUAUUUGACCUUUACUUUCAACUUUGUGAUACACUUUCAAGAGUCGGAUUGUUUGGGAAUGCAGUCCAAAAUGGGUGGUAAAUUUCAUCUAAAGCUAAAUAUUGGCGAGAGACCGAUAGCGAACAAGUACCGUGAGGGAAAGAUGAAAAGAACUUUGAAAAGAGAGUUAAACAGUACGUGAAAUUGUCAAAAGGGAAGCGUUUGACAGCCAGUGUUGUUUUUCUGAGAAUCAAUUAAAGAGCUGUUUAUGCUAAGUUGUUUAGACUUUAUCAGCUAUCUGUUUAGUUUUGAGCUUUUCUUUAAUGCACUUUUCAGUUAACAAGUCAACAUCAAUUUCUUUUGCUGUAAAAAAGCUUGAGGAAGGUGGCUUGAGAUUCGUCUUAAGUGUUUAUAGCCUCUUGCCUAUGCAGUCGGAGAGAUUGAGGUCUGCAGCGUAGAUCCUUCGGGGCUAAAUGCAUUUGUGCUAAGUUAUAGCAUUUUAUAGACAACUUGUUGACUAUGAUUUGUCUUGUAGCUUACUCGCUUAUGUUAUUUUACCUACGCUUAGGAUGUUGACGCGCGUGUGUGCGUG
rnacentral:rRNA from 1 species